AAUUCAAUUUCUCUUCAUUUGUCGAAUAAAUAUUUCGCCUCUUACUAAAGGUUUCCGUGGAGAGGAGCUCUCUAAUGAAAUUAAUUUAUUAAUUAAACACAAAUUUCAAUUUUCA